GCCCUUAUAGCUCAGUGGUAGAGCGCUUCACUUGUAAUGAAGAGGUCCGCGGUUCGAUCCCGCGUGGGGGCA